CGCGUGUUCUGGGCACUCAGCCCAGAGCUGGCCCUGGAGGUGACACCACAGGGAACCAUUGGACACCGCUGGAACACAGUGGCCGCAGGCCUUGGCGGGUCCCUCCUCUUCCUGGUCCUGCUCGUGGGUGGAGCUGUCAGUUGGCACCGGUGGAACAACAUGGCUGCCAGGAAGCAGCAGGAAAGG